UACGUAGGGGGCUAGCGUUGUCCGGAAUCAUUGGGCGUAAAGCGCGCGUAGGCGGCCCGGUAAGUCCGCUGUGAAAGUCAAAGGCUCAACCUUUGAAUGUCAGCGGAUACUGCCGGGCUAGAGUCCGGAAGAGGCGAGUGGAACUCCUGGUGUAGCGGUGGAAUGCGCAGAUAUCAGGAAGAACACCAACGGCGAAGGCAGCUCGCUGGGACGGAACUGACGCUAAGGCGCGAAAGCGUGGGGAGCGAACGAGG
rnacentral:rRNA from 1 species